UAAAGGUUUGGUCCUGGCCUUACUAUCAUUUUCAGCUAAAAUUACACAUGCAAGUAUCCGCAACCCCGUGAGAAUGCCCUUAGUUGCCCUACCAGGCAAAAAGGAGCAGGCAUCAGGCUCACUUUAUAGCACAACCCAAAACGCCUUGCUCAGCCACACCCCCACGGGAACCAGCAGUGAUUAACAUUGAGCAAUAAGCGAAAGCUUGACUCAGCCAUAGCCUUCCGGGCCGGUAAACCUCGUGCCAGCCACCGCGGUUAUACGAAGGACCCGAAUUGAUAGUCUACGGCGUAAAGCGUGAUUAGAUAAGACUAAAAAAUUAGAGUUAAAACCCCAUCCAGCCGUCAUACGCAUCCAUGGGCCAUAAAAUACAGCUAGACUCUAAACAACUAGACUACUUGAAUUCACGAAAGCUAAGAUACAAACUGGGAUUAGAUACCCCACUAUGCUCAGCCAUAAACUUUGACAAGUACGUACAAAGCUUGUCCGCCAGGGUACUACGAGCGCCAGCUUAAAACCCAAAGGACUUGGCGGUGCCUCACACCCACCUAGAGGAGCCUGUUCUAGAACCGAUAAUCCACGUUAAACCUCACCGCUUCUUGCCACUACCGUCUAUAUACCACCGUCGCCAGCUUACCCCGUGAGGGUGAAAAAGUAAGCACAAUUGGUACAACCAAAAACGUCAGGUCGAGGUGUAGCGAAUGAAGCGGAAAGAAAUGGGCUACAUUUUCUAUAAAAGAAUAUACGAAAGACCUAAUGAAACAAAGUCAGAAGGUGGAUUUAGCAGUAAGAAAAACCAAGAAUAUUUUUCUGAAAUUGGCCAUGAGGCGCGCACACACCGCCCGUCACUCUCCUCAAUAACAAUCUAAACAGUAAAUAACUAAACAUAAUUAAAAUAAGAGGAGGCAAGUCGUAACAUGGUAAGCGUACCGGAAGGUGCGCUUGGAAUAAU
rnacentral:ncRNA from 1 species